rnacentral:rRNA from 1 species
AGUGAACGCUGGCGGCAGGCCUAACACAUGCAAGUCGAGCGGCUGAAGAGUGCUUGCUUGCGGAUUCGGCGGGCGACGGGCGGGUGAGUGAUGGGUAUCUGGGUUGCAGUUGGGUCUAGGGUCAGAACGCGGGCGCUAUUACGGUAAUACUGCAGAGGGCGAAAGAGGGGGAUCAUGGGAUCUUCCGCCAUUAGGCGAUCCUAAGUCGGAUUAGCUAGUUGGUGGGGUAAAGGGCUACCAAGGCGACGAUCCGUAACUGGUCUGAUAGGAUGAUCAGCCACACUGGAACUGAGACACGGUCCAGACUCCUACGGGAGGCAGCAGUGGGGAAUAUUGGACAAUGGGCGAAAGCCUGAUCCAGCCAUGCCGCGUGGGUGAAGAAGGUCUUCGGGUUGUAAAGCCCUUUUGUUGGGAAGGAAGAGCAGUAGGUUAAUACCCUGCUGUUUUGACGGUACCAACAGAAUAAGCACCGGCUAACUUCGUG